GUGCUCGCUUCGGCAGCACAUAUACUAAAAUGGGAAUGAUACAGAGGAGGUUAGCAGGGCUCCUUGCUCAAAAAUGCAAAGCAAAUAAGCAAAGCAAAAUAUUGGU